CGGACGGGUGAGUAACGCGUGGGUAACCUGCCUCAUACAGGGGGAUAACAGUUAGAAAUGACUGCUAAUACCGCAUAAGCGCACGGGACUGCAUGGUCUUGUGUGAAAAACUCCGGUGGUAUGAGAUGGACCCGCGUCUGAUUAGCUUGUUGGUGAGGUAACGGCCCACCAAGGCGACGAUCAGUAGCCGGCCUGAGAGGGUGAACGGCCACAUUGGGACUGAGACACGGCCCAAACUCCUACGGGAGGCAGCAG
rnacentral:rRNA from 1 species